UAUUGGCUAUUCGUAUUUCACUCAUUAAACUAUUAUAUAUUUCUAUUUUCUCCAGGCUGUUACUAAAGCUGAUUUAUAUUAAUUCAAUGAAUAUAUACUAAUUGUUGGCAGAGAGAUACAUAGAAGUCUGGGUGCCAAGAGAUGUUGGAUAAGACAGCUCAUUCUGGACUUCGAAGACGUGGCAAAGAUGAUUUUUUCCAAAGAGAAUUAGAGCAAGAGUGCCUGGAACGUAGUAGGCACUCAAUAGCUAAGUUGUUCAAUUCUUACUAUAUAAACUCUAUUUGUUAUCCUAACAAUAACUCAGUUAAUCUACAUAAUGUAUGAGAUGUUCUCUUCAUCUGCUAAAUGUGUCCAGAUUACACAUUUCAGUAAAUGGUAUAAUCAGGAACUG